rnacentral:misc_RNA from 1 species
GAUGAAGAACGCAGCGAAAUGCGAUAAGUAGUGUGAAUUGCAGAAUUCAGUGAAUCAUCGAAUCUUUGAACGCACAUUGCGCCCCUUGGUAUCCCGAGGGGCAUGCCUGUUCGAGCGUCAUUUCACCACUCAAGCCUGGCUUGGUGUUGGGCGACGUCCUCUUUGGGGACGCGCCUCGAAACGCUCGGCGGCGUGGCACCGGCUUUAAGCGUAGCAGAAUCUUUCGCUUUGGAAGUCGGGGCCCCGUCUGCCGGAAGACCUGCUCGCAAGGUUGACCUCGGAUCAGGCAGGGAUACCCGCUGAACUUAAGCAUAUCAAUAGCGGAGGA